GAUGAAGAACGUAGCGAAAUGCGAUAAGUAAUGUGAAUUGCAGAAUUCAGUGAAUCAUCGAAUCUUUGAACGCACAUUGCGCCCACCAGUAUUCUGGCGGGCAUGCCUGUCUGAGCGUCAUUUCAACCCUCAUGCCCCUAGGGCGUGGUGUUGGGGAUCGGCCAAAGCCCGCGAGGGACGGCCGGCCCCUAAAUCUAGUGGCGGACCCGUCGUGGCCUCCUCUGCGAAGUAGUGAUAUUCCGCAUCGGAGAGCGAUGAGCCCCUUCCGUUAAACCCCCAACUUUCCAAGGUUGACCUCAGAUCAGGUAGGAAUACCCGCUGAACUUAAGCAUACCAAUAAGCGGAGGA
rnacentral:misc_RNA from 1 species